GAGGAACCCUUCUACUUUCAAAUGUAAGCUGAACCUUCAUUGAUGUGUAUUCUCUUAAGGCUGAAACUGGUUAUAGCCAUAAAAAGAAUUGCUAAUAAAUAGUAGUUUGACCACUAUAGUUCUUUUGGUUUUUUAACAGUUUUUGAAGUCAGAUGUGGGAAUUUUAAGUGAAAGUUCGAAUACAGUCAGCCAGUUUUACAUAUUGGGAAUUCAUGUCCCUUUUUUUUUCUUUAAUUUGAUUUUGGGUUGGUACAUAAUCACAAAUAGGCAUGAUUUUACCAGUUAUUUAUAUGUUUCCUAGUCUUGCUUUUUCCCCCUUUUCUUUUCUUUCUUGUUUUCUAUUGGGCAGCUACUUUUUUCAAAUUUCAACAAGGGUAUAUCAUAUAUGUUUGUGCAACUUAACUGUUGCGUUAAUUUUGCAUAAUAUUCUUUAUCUCAGCUGACACCUGGGGUUCAGUUCUCUCCAUACAAAUGCACAUUGGACCUAGUUAGCAUGUUUGCCGACA
rnacentral:misc_RNA from 1 species